rnacentral:rRNA from 1 species
GACGAACCGAGCGAACGUUAUUCGGAAUCACUGGGCUUAAAGGGCGCGUAGGCGGGCGGCCAAGUCAGGGGUGAAAGCCCCCAGCUCAACUGGGGAAGUGCCUUUGAUACUGGCCAUCUCGAGGGAGGUAGGGGCGUGCGGAACUUCCGGUGGAGCGGUGAAAUGCGUAGAUAUCGGAAGGAACACCGGUGGCGAAAGCGGCGCGCUGGACCUCUUCUGACGCUGAGGCACGAAAGCGUGGGGAGCAAACAGGG